CCUCAGCCUCCAGAGUGCUGGGAUUACAGGCGUCGCCGCCAUGCCUGGCUCAACAAAUAUUUCUUGACUUUAGUGUGGGUCAAGUGCUGUCCUGGAAGCUGCACAAGAAAGACAAUACUGAUGCUAAUGCCAAUGCUAAUGCUAAUAAUUCAGUUCAGAAAUACUGAGUCUGGGUUGCUGACAUCUUACAGAGUGAAGAAGAGAUGUGAGGUAGAAAUCGGACAUAUUCCUGCAUAGUGCUCAGCGUGGAGGCGGGCAUGGCAGUGAGAUGUAAACACCUUAAACACAGCCGUACACCUCCAGCGUGAGGUACUGGUGACGAGGAAGGAGUCAGCGAGGGCAUCGUGCACGAGGUGUGUCGUGGAAGCACAGGCGCCCUGAGCACUGAGGACAGGAAGUGACUGUGGAACUAACGAGGUGAAGGUCACGUGACCCAGCCGUGCUCUUGACCGCUACAAUCCUGCGGAGAAAGGAAGCAAAGUCAGAGAAGGCUCAGUCUCCUGCAAGAUCCUGUCCCAGAGGAUUCUCCUUCAACUUUGGUGCUGUCUCCUGCCUUGUUGUGUGGUACUGUAUUAUUGGACUCUGUUCAGAUCUGCUGUACUUUUAUAAUAAACUUUUAUCUAUAUAAAA